rnacentral:rRNA from 1 species
UAGGGAAUCUUCCACAAUGGACGGCAAGUCUGAUGGAGCAACGCCGCGUGAGUGAAGAAGGGUUUCGGCUCGUAAAGCUCUGUUGUUAAAGAAGAACGUGGGUAAGAGUAACUGUUUACCCAGUGACGGUAUUUAACCAGAAAGCCACGGCUAACUACGUGCUAG